rnacentral:rRNA from 1 species
UACAGAGGUCUCAAGCGUUGUUCGGAUUCAUUGGGCGUAAAGGGUGUGUAGGUGGCGCCGUUAGUCGGGUGUGAAAUUUCGGAGCUUAACUCCGAAACUGCAUUCGAUACUGCGGUGCUUGAGGACUGGAGAGGAGACUGGAAUUCAUGGUGUAGCAGUGAAAUGCGUAGAGAUCAUGAGGAAGACCAGUGGCGAAGGCGGCGUUCUGGACUGCAACUGACACUGAGGAACGAAAGCCAGGGGAGCAAACGGG